rnacentral:rRNA from 1 species
UCCGUAGGUGGAUAAUUAAGUCAGAGGUGAAAUCCUGCAGCUCAACUGUAGAAUUGCCUUCGAUACUGGUUAUCUUGAGUUAUUAUGAAGUAGUUAGAAUAUGUAGUGUAGCGGUGAAAUGCAUAGAUAUUACAUAGAAUACCAAUUGCGAAGGCAGAUUACUAAUAAUCAACUGACACUGAUGGACGAAAGCGUGGGGAGCGAACAGGAUUAGAUACCCUGGUAGUCC